rnacentral:rRNA from 1 species
AAGGAAAAGAAAUCGUUAAGGGCGUAUGGCGGAUGCCUAGGCUUCAAGAGGCGAAGAAAGACGUGGUAAGCUGCGAAAAGCUGCGGGGAUUGGCACACACGAAAUGAUCCGCAGAUAUCUGAAUGGGGCAACCCACUAUACAAGAGUAUAGUAUUCCCGUAAGGGGAGGCAAACCUUCCGAACUGAAACAUCUAAGUAGGAAGAGGAAAAGAAAUCAACAGAGAUUCCGAGAGUAGUGGCGAGCGAAAUCGGAAGAGCCCAAAAGUAUCUAUAUAGAUAACAGAAUGUUUUGGAAAGGACAACCGCAGAGGGUGAUAGUCCCGUAAGUGAAAUCUAUAUACAUAUGAAAAAGAGUAGGGCGGGACACGAGAAAUCCUGUCUGAAUAUGGGGGGACCAUCCUCCAAGGCUAAAUACUCCUUGAAGACCGAUAGCGAACAAGUACCGUGAGGGAAAGGUGAAAAGUAUUUCGAAAAGAAAGAUGAAAGAGACCCUGAAACCAUACGCCUACAAGCGGUCGGAGCAUCAAUAAGAUGUGACGGCGUGCCUUUUGCAUAAUGAGCCUACGAGUUAAUUUCACUAGCGAGGUUAAGUAGUUCAGCUACGGAGCCGGAGCGAAAGCGAGUCUGAAAAGGGCGAGGAGUUAGUGGGAUUAGACGCGAAACCUUGUGAUCUAUCCAUGGGCAGGUUGAAGCUUUGGUAACACAAAGUGGAGGACCGAACCGGUUGACGUUGAAAAGUCUUCGGAUGACCUGUGGAUAGGGGUGAAAGGCUAAUCAAACUGGGAGAUAGCUCGUACUCCCCGAAAUGCAUUUAGGUGCAGCGUUAAGAGAAGUAUACUAGAGGUAGAGCUACUGAUUGGAUGCGGGGGUUUCACCGCCUACCAAAUCCUGACAAACUCCGAAUGCUAUUAUAUGUUUCUUAGCAGUGAGGGCAUGGGUGCUAAGGUCCAUGUCCGAGAGGGAAAGAACCCAGAGCAACAGCUAAGGUCCCGAAAUGUAUACUAAGUUGGACAAACGAGGUCAGACUGCCUGGACAGCUAGGAUGUUGGCUUGGAAGCAGCCAUUCAUUUAAAGAGUGCGUAACAGCUCACUAGUCGAGCGGUUUGGCAUGGAUAAUACUCGGGCAUAAGUAUACUACCGAAGCUAUGCGAAAUUUAAAAUUUCGGUAGGGGAGCAUUCUAUAUGCGCAGAAUCUUUAAGGUGACUUAAAGUGGAGCGUAUAGAAAAGAAAAUGUAGGCAUAAGUAACGAUAAUGAAGGUGAGAAACCUUCACGCCGAAAAUCCAAGGUUUCCUCAGCUAUGCUAAUCAGCUGAGGGUAAGUCGGGACCUAAGGUGAAUCCGAGAGGAGUAAUCGAUGGGAAAUCGGUUAAUAUUCCGAUACCGGCUGUAAAUUCGAUGGAGUGACAGAGUAAUGACACUACCGCGUACUGACGGAAUAGUACGUUAAAGCAAGUAGGUAAAUCUGGGAUAGUAAAAUGCGUUUCGGAUGCCGAAUGUGAAAGUACCAGGAAGCUACGGUGGAAUGGAUAGUGUAGGUAAGAGCUCUCAAGAAAAACUUCUAAGGUAAGUUUACAGCGCCCGUACCAAAACCGACACAGGUGGAUGAGGAGAGUAUCCUAAGGCGCUCGAGUG